rnacentral:tRNA from 1 species
UAAACUUUAAGUUAUAUAAACUAAGAGCCCUCCAAGCUCCCCAAAAGAAACACUUCUUAAGUUUAA